UGUUCCUACGGGGGGCAGCAGUGAGGAAUAUUGGUCAAUGGGCUUACGCCUGAACCAGCCAAGUCGCGUGAGGGAAGACUGCCCUAUGGGUUGUAAACCUCUUUUGUCAGGGAGCAACGCCGGCUACGUGUAGCCGGACUGAGAGUACCUGAAGAAAAAGCAUCGGCUAACUCCGUGCCAGCAGCCGCGGUAAUACGGAGGAUGCGAGCGUUAUCCGGAUUUAUUGGGUUUAAAGGGUGCGCAGGCGGUCUGUUAAGUCAGCGGUCAAAGCCCGGGGCUCAACCCCGGCCCGCCGUUGAAACUGG
rnacentral:rRNA from 1 species